ensembl:lncRNA
AUCUCCACCUGAUAACAAAGAUGUAGCCUUUUCAUUUUGUCACACAUUGUAUACAUUACCCAUUAACCUUCAUUUCAUGACCUUUAGACGUAGGUGUGCUGGUAAGGGAUUUUGCUCUUCCGGACCAAAAAGCAAAAGCAGUGUGUUUUAUGUUUAUGGUCACUGAAGAUACAGAGAUAGUGGUUUAGCUUAGUUACAAAGCUAACUACAUUAGAUAGGCGUUAAAGAUGUCUGCAUAGUGGUAUGGACGCCUACUCUUGCCAGCCAUUCUGGGUAUAAAAUAAAAUCGCUUACUGCCCUGAUAUCCUUUUAUAGUCUGAAGUAGGAGAAUGUCUCCUGCACAGAUAAUCAGUCACCAGGUGAGAGUCUCAAAUACAGGGGAGUCCUCUGUUUUAAAAUUUGGCGCGUGGGAGAGGAGGCUUUAAAUGAAACCAAAAACCUAAUUCGCUAGCCUGAAGCCUGAAAUUCAGUUUCAUUCUUCGUAUUAUUGGUGCCUGCUUGAGGAAGAAGUAACAAGGUUCAGUAAGGCCUUGCCCAACAGAAUAAAGAAUGGUGAAAGUAUUUAUCAUCUUUGCUGGAAACACUCUGAACACUCAUGCAAAGUUUUGGCAGCGCCUGGUCAGAAGUAACGAUGCGGAGGAAGUGGCCAACGUUAGAGACUGUGAUGUGACCCUCACAUUCUGUCCAAUCGUCUCACGAGUUGGAACUGAUGUAGAGGCAGCCGUCCAGCUGAUCCCAACAACUAGACCUGGAGUCCUGGUAUUACUGCACCCAACCUUUAACCCAGAGGAAAUAGUCCCAGACGCCAACAGAUUUGUAACCAGUGCUAAAAUCCUGACUGUCAACUGCUUGUUCCACGAGGGCACCCUACUGGACAGCCAUUGCAAUGACGAAGCCUUUGAAAGCGUUUCCAGUUACUUAAGGAAAAUUGCCCCACAUACUAGCUAUGAACUUCCUUCUCCACCUCAUAAUCGAAACCAUGGUUACAACUCCAUGCACAUGGUGGGGAUAACUGUCACACUAUUGGGUUUAAUCUUUAUUAUUUAUCUUUAUCUUAUGCCAUCGCUCCAAGACAAGCCAAUGGCCAGAGGUGGAAAUUCCACCUCCUCUUCACAUCUGUCAACCUAAAAUUUAAAAUGACAUGUAGUUGUUUAUGAACAAAAAUAAAUGAUCAGUCAAACCAAGAAAACAUUUUCAUACUCUUGAAUCAUCCUCAAAUAUACCAACUUUAACAAAACAUACAUGAUUGCACUGUCUACAAGAUUGUGUUUAAAAAACAAUAUACUUAUACCAUGUCAUGACAUGUCAUAUCACACCCCGUGAGCAGAAUUUGUUAAUGGUAAACUCUAGCAGAUUUGACCAGCUAUAAUAUGGUAGGUCUUCUAUCUCAGAAUUGUCUGGAAUUUCCACACACUUCGACAUAAAAUAGGCCUUAUUCAAUUCAGAGUUUGUAACUGAAGCUUCUCUUUCACACACUGUUUUUCAAAAGUUGGAAUAAUGCUUACUGGUGUGCAAUCAUGUCUCUUUUGCACUAUAAUAACUUCUGUUCUGCUGUAUCAUGUUUAAUUUGGAACACAUUUAGAAAGUUUAAGGAUUUAAAAUGAGACCUCAGCAAUUGUGAUGUUAACAUGUGGCAUAAAGAAAGUGAUGAAAUUAAAGACCUAUUAUGGGAGAAUUGGUAUUUUUUGCUAUUGAGCUCCCUCUAAAGAUGGAGAGUGUAGCUUACUUUUCAUGGAAAGUGUGUCUGCUUCUCAGAUGGAAGCUGGAAGAUUAUUCCACAGGAGAGGGUCUCGAUAGCAGAAGGCUCUGCCUCCUAUUGUGCUUUUUGACUUUCUUGGAAUUACAGAUCUGCACUCUGGGAACGAAGUGUUUUUGGUGUUAGAAGGAGUACUUUGAAAUCAAUUAUUCUUUUGACAGAGAGGCCAGUACAGGUGAGAUGUUCAAUAUAUUUUUUAGCUCUAGUAAGUGUGCGAGCAGAAACAUUCAGUAUGAGUUGGAGGCUCUUUAUUGAGUUGUUGCUAUGUCCAGACAGGAGAGGAUUGUUAGUUUAGUUUUUCGGCAUCUUGGAGGGAUAGGACUUUUCUAAUUUUGGCAAUAUUGCGUAGAUGAAAAAAUAGUGUCUGAGUUCUGUUUUCUGUGUAAGUCUAGUAGAAGGUAUUCGUUUAUAAUUAUACAGAGAUUUUUGGUGGAGUGUUGGAUGUUAAUAAGAUGCCAUUGAGUGUGGUAGAUGGUUAGAUAAUGCCAUUCUCGAUUGUUUAGGGCCUACAAGCAUAACCUCAGUUUUAUCUGAGUUAGGGAGCAGGAAGUUGUUAGUCAUCCAUGCUUAACAUCUUGCAAGCAAGCUUCCAUCUUGGGUAGCUGUACAAUUUCCUCAGAGUUCAUGGAUAGGUAGUCGGGCUAGCUAACCUGCAUAACAUUACUUAACUGUCGAUACGGUCGUCUGCUUGUUGUCAUUAGGUGAACGCUCUAAACUCGGAAGUAGGACCUUCCGGAAUGGGAACUUUCUCCAAUUCCCAGUUGCCCGAAUGCACACUGAGCAUGCACGUCUAAUUUCUCAUGUACAUCUGUCCUUUUGUUGAUGACACAACGAAAGGAAGGGAGAAUUAAGAGGGUGUCUUUAACUAUUAAUCUUUAACUUGCAUGUGGCAUCAGGAAGUACAUGCCACUGGCAGGAGGCGGGACAUGCACUUCAUGUACUCAGAGGUGUAAAGUAACGAAUUACUUUUACUCACGUUACUGUAAUUGAGUAGUUUUUUUGUGUACUUUGUAAUUUUUAAGUAGUUUUUGAAAUCGGUAAUUUUACUUUUACUUAAGUAGAUUUUGACUGAAGUAUUGUACUUCGCUACAUUGGACAUUACAUCCGUUACUGAGUAAAAAAAAAAACAUAGUUCAAGGCGGGAAUCGCGCACCACAAUUCUCACUGCAAUGGUGGAUGCUGCAUAGAGUAAAUGAUGGAGUCAUGCAAGGAGCCGGUACGGUGCCGAGUCACGAGAGAUAGAUAUGGAGGAAGAUGAUAGUGCGGACUACCAACAAGCUGAAGCACCGAACUUUCCGCCAGUUGAAAUUAAAGAAGAUGAAGAAAACCCGUGGCCAUAUCUCAGCAAGCAGUUUGCCUUCCAACGUAAAAGAGGCAACAGCUAUAUGCUGUGUAAACUGUGCCUAAUCCGCCAGUCAGAACUUUCUGCUUAUACAAAUUCAUCUUCAAAUCUGCGCAAGCAUGUGUUGGUAAGUACAGUAUUUGUCCCUUUCCAUUAGUAGUUCAGACAGCGUUUUUGUCAUUUAGUUAGCUUUGCUCCAUUAAGCAAAAUAUGCGUUUCAUGGCACUAGUAGGUAGUAGCCUAAUUUUGGCUAGCACUUGCAACCGACCUGAGUAUGCUAACGUCGACAGCGGUCAUCCAAUAGACUAAUAAUACCAUUCCUGUCUUCCAUUCGUUUC